rnacentral:rRNA from 1 species
GAUGAACGCUGGCGGCGUGCCUAAUACAUGCAAGUCGAGCGAACAGACGAGGAGCUUGCUCCUCUGACGUUAGCGGCGGACGGGUGAGUAACACGUGGAUAACCUACCUAUAAGACUGGGAUAACUUCGGGAAACCGGAGCUAAUACCGGAUAAUAUAUUGAACCGCAUGGUUCAAUAGUUAAAGACGGUUUUGCUGUCACUUAUAGAUGGAUCCGCGCCGCAUUAGCUAGUUGGUAAGGUAACGGCUUACCAAGGCGACGAUGCGUAGCCGACCUGAGAGGGUGAUCGGCCACACUGGAACUGAGACACGGUCCAGACUCCUACGGGAGGCAGCAGUAGGGAAUCUUCCGCAAUGGGCGAAAGCCUGACGGAGCAACGCCGCGUGAGUGAUGAAGGUCUUCGGAUCGUAAAACUCUGUUAUUAGGGAAGAACAAAUGUGUAAGUAACUAUGCACGUCUUGACGGUACCUAAUCAGAGAGCCACGGCUAACUACGUG